ACUUCAUUGUUAGGGAAUUGCAUGAGGUUAUCAUUGAACCCUUCCCAUAUUUCAUACAAGAGCUCUCCAUUGAGUUGAUGAAAAUUUAUGAUCUCAUCCCGUAAUU
rfam:Capsicum annuum cultivar Zunla-1 chromosome 9, whole genome shotgun sequence